UGCGUUUAAGCUCCGUGGUUCACUGAAUUUUGGCAAUCACUUUACUACCGCAGUAGGUGCUUACUUAUUGAUGCAGACCCAAGCUCCGUUGUAAAGUUCUGAUAAUUGCCUUGUACCACCUCAGAAGAAACGUCGUUAAUAGGUUGGUCGUCCUCACGCGGAGCCCACCCCGCCAGGGGGGCGCGCGGAGGGUCAGGGAGACCCUACCAGCCGUAGCAACAUUCAUAGGUAUGUUCACACAGGCGCAUAGAGCUGUAAACUCCGUAAUGAUCUUUCCGUAGGGGGUACCUGCGGAGGGAUCAUUACUGAGUUUACGCUCUAUAACCCUUUGUGAACAUACCUAUAACUGUUGCUUCGGCGGGUAGGGUCUCCGUGACCCUCCCGGCCUCCCGCCCCCGGGCGGGUCGGCGCCCGCCGGAGGAUAACCAAACUCUGAUUUAACGACGUUUCUUCUGAGUGGUACAAGCAAAUAAUCAAAACUUUUAACAACGGAUCUCUUGGUUCUGGCAUCGAUGAAGAACGCAGCGAAAUGCGAUAAGUAAUGUGAAUUGCAGAAUUCAGUGAAUCAUCGAAUCUUUGAACGCACAUUGCGCCCGCCAGCAUUCUGGCGGGCAUGCCUGUUCGAGCGUCAUUUCAACCCUCAAGCUCUGCUUGGUGUUGGGGCCCUACAGCUGAUGUAGGCCCUCAAAGGUAGUGGCGGACCCUCCCGGAGCCUCCUUUGCGUAGUAACUUUACGUCUCGCACUGGGAUCCGGAGGGACUCUUGCCGUAAAACCCCCAAUUCUCCAAAGGUGACCUCGGAUCAUGUUGCUGGCUCGUUCC
rnacentral:rRNA from 1 species